CUCGUAGGCGGUUCGUCGCGUCCGGUGUGAGAGUCCAUCGCUUAACGGUGGAUCCGCGCCGGGUACGGGCGGGCUUGAGUGCGGUAGGGGAGACUGGAAUUCCCGGUGUAACGGUGGAAUGUGUAGAUAUCGGGAAGAACACCAAUGGCGAAGGCAGGUCUCUGGGCCGUUACUGACGCUGAGGAGCGAAAGCGUGGGGAGCGAACA
rnacentral:rRNA from 1 species